AACGAACGCUGGCGGCAUGCCUAACACAUGCAAGUCGAACGAACCCUUCGGGGUUAGUGGCGCACGGGUGCGUAACGCGUGGGAAUCUGCCCUUUGCUUCGGAAUAACAGUUAGAAAUGAAUGCUAAUACCGGAUGAUGUCUUCGGACCAAAGAUUUAUCGGCAAGGGAUGAGCCCGCGUAGGAUUAGGUAGUGGGUGGGGUAAAGGCCUACCAAGCCGACGAUCCUUAGCUGGUCUGAGAGGAUGAUCAGCCACACUGGGACUGAGACACGGCCCAGACUCCUACGGGAGGCAGCAGUGGGGAAUAUUGGACAAUGGGCGCAAGCCUGAUCCAGCAAUGCCGCGUGAGUGAUGAAGGCCUUCGGGUCGUAAAGCUCUUUUACCAGGGAUGAUAAUGACAGUACCUGGAGAAUAAGCUCCGGCUAACUCCGUGCCAGCAGCCGCCGUAACAC
rnacentral:rRNA from 1 species